rnacentral:rRNA from 1 species
GACGAACCGAGCGAACGUUAUUCGGAAUCACUGGGCUUAAAGGGUGCGUAGGCGGGCACGCGAGUCAGGGGUGAAAUCCCGGGGCUCAACCCCGGAACUGCCUUUGAUACUGGGUAUCUCGAGUCCGGAAGAGGUGAGUGGAAUUCCGAGUGUAGAGGUGAAAUUCGUAGAUAUUCGGAGGAACACCAGUGGCGAAGGCGGCUCACUGGUCCGGUACUGACGCUGAGGUGCGAAAGCGUGGGGAGCAAACAGG